rnacentral:rRNA from 1 species
CAGCAGCCACGGGAAUACGAAGGGUGCAAGCGUUACUCGGAAUUACUGGGCGUAAAGCGUGCGUAGGUGGUGGUUUAAGUCUGUUGUGAAAGCCCUGGGCUCAACCUGGGAAUUGCAGUGGAUACUGGGUCACUAGAGUGUGGUAGAGGAUAGUGGAAUUUCCGGUGUAGCAGUGAAAUGCGUAGAGAUCGGAAGGAACAUCCGUGGCGAAGGCGGCCAUCUGGGACAACACUGACGCUGAGGCACGAAAGCGUGGGGAGCAAACAGGAUUAGAUACCCCAGUAGUCCCUGUCUCUUAUAC